rnacentral:rRNA from 1 species
ACGUAGGGAGCAAGCGUUGUCCGGAAUUACUGGGCGUAAAGGGCGCGUAGGCGGGAUUUUAAGUCAGGUGUGAAAACUCUGGGCUCAACCUGGAGACUGCAUUUGAUACUGAAAUUCUUGAGGACAGGAGAGGAAAGUGGAAUUCCUAGUGUAGCGGUGAAAUGCGUAGAUAUUAGGAGGAACACCAGUGGCGAAGGCGACUUUCUGGACUGAACCUGACGCUGAGGCGCGAAAGCGUGGGGAGUGAACGG